AGCUGAUGACCGCUAGCAGUGGCUAGCUGACUACUAGCUACUUAGCUGGCUAGCUUCUAUUGGGGGUUCCGGUUCAAAAGUAAAGAAUUGCAGAAUCAUUCCACAUUGGUGUGAGGCGGAUUGCAGGAGAGUAUGUUGAAGUUGAGGUUAAGAAAAAUAUAAAAAAAUAUGUGCGAAGAAAAAUAUAAUGGCCUGCCCAGCAUUUUAUACAUGCCCCUAAGCAUGAUGGGAUAUUCAUUACUUAACUAACUCAGGAAUCACACCUGUGUGGAAGCUCCUGCUUUCAAAAUACUUUGUUUCCAUUAUUUUGACAGUUACCUGUACAUUAAUUGAAGAAAAGUUUCAAAUCAAAUGAAACUGUGAUUAAAAUGAGGUUGAUGGUCAUUUCUGCACUUUUCACAAUUCUUUGGCAUUUUCUCCAGAGUGUAUAUAAAAUGAUGUUUGUGAUAUAUCUUGUUUCUGUUUCACCUCUUAAAUGGUUGUAGAAUCCACUAACAGAACUACACAGGUCUCAAUUUGUUGAUGGAAGGCUGUGUGAUUCCCACCAACAGGUUCCUCUUCGAAACAACAGGAAUGAUGAGAAGAUAAAGAAGAAGAAGAAACAAAAGAAAAGGCGAAAGGAUGUUCUUGCAGAUGCUGCGUUUGUGGAUAAGCACAUGAGUGCACUAAUCAAGAGGGUCACAAUGGUAAUGGCUAUAGCAGAUGACCUACUGGGAGAGGACAUGAUCCAAGAUGAAAUGUAUUCGAUUAUUGAUGUAGCCGAGACCAGUGAGAAAAAAAUGAGAGUUAUGUACAAGGCUCUACGCUCAGGAGGACCACUGAUUAAAUCAGCCUUCUACACAGCUCUCCAAACUAAUGAACCUAAUCUUGUCAAGGACUUGGAUUCCCCCUGAAGACAGACCUGGCUUGGGUUGGUCCUCAAGUGCUGGACAAAGGGCAGCAGGCAGUCUCACCGGCUGUGGAACUGCAGCGGAGUUACUAUCCUCCUAAUGCCGCUACAGGUGUUGGGGGAUAUAACCAACUAGCUCUAUCAUCCUCUUUUGUUUUUGUGGCUUUAUGCUAACUGAAAUCUGUGCUCUUGCAAUCUGCUAUAGCCUAGUACUUUGUUUUCAUCACAAUGUUUUGUGUGUUUUUGUUUUUAUCAAGCCCAUCUUUAGUGUUCUUACUGUAUGUGUCAGGGAAAGGGACAACACAAAACUGGUUAAAUAUGAUGUUAGUUUAAAAAAAAUUGUGCAUGCAUAAAUACUUGAGGACAACAGAGGGACAAACAGGUUGAGUAGCAUAUAUGCUUGUUAAUUGAUUUAUGCAUUAUUUGAAAUAUUUGGUAUAUAAUACAAUCAUGUUAUGUGGAAAUGUUUGUCACAAUUUAUUUGACCAGAGGACAAUACCAGUGGAAACAGUGCCAUGAAGUAAAGGGCAACCCAAGAUAAAAUGUUGAUCAUGUAUGUAACAUUUUGUUUUAGAUGUGAACUUGAUUAUACCAAUGAAUUACCAAUGAAUUGUGUUUAUCUUAUUAUGGUACCUGGUUUAUAUCAUCAUUCAUUCUGUUUGUUCAAAAUCAUCUCUAUCAUCAUAUCUUCAACUAAUUUUACAUUGUAUGUUUCUGAGUUGAACGUCUCAUUGUUUCAUUUUUUCCUCAAUAAAAAUAAAUGUUAAAGGUA